UACGGAGGGUGCAAGCGUUAUCCGGAUUUACUGGGUUUAAAGGGUGCGUAGGUGGGCAGGUAAGUCAGUGGUGAAAUCUCCGGGCUUAACCCGGAAACUGCCAUUGAUACUAUCUGUCUUGAAUUUCCUGGAGGUAAGCGGAAUAUGUCAUGUAGCGGUGAAAUACUUAGAUAUGUCAUAGAACACCGAUUGCGAAGGCAGCUAACGAAACUAUAACUGACGCUGAGGCACGAAAGUGCGGGGAUCAAACAGG
rnacentral:rRNA from 1 species